UAUCAACCAAGUGGUAUGAUUCAACAUAUACUGACGCAGACGCUUAGCAGCCCAAGCCAAUACGCAACAAGUCUUCUCAAGCAUAGAAUACUGAGUCUCACAGUCGGUGAACUUCUUACUGAGGUAGUAAAUUGAAAAUUCUUUCUUUCCAGUCUCAUCUUGCUGACCAAGAACACAACCCAUACUAUCUUUGAGCACAGUCAAAUACUUGAUCAACGGUCUUCCUUCAACAGGUGGAGACAAAAU
rnacentral:lncRNA from 1 species